UACGUAGGGUGCGAGCGUUGUCCGGAAUUAUUGGGCGUAAAGAGCUUGUAGGCGGUUUGUCGCGUCUGCCGUGAAAGCCCAGGGCUUAACCCUGGGUCUGCGGUGGGUACGGGCAGACUAGAGUGUGGUAGGGGAGACUGGAAUUCCUGGUGUAGCGGUGAAAUGCGCAGAUAUCAGGAGGAACACCGGUGGCGAAGGCGGGUCUCUGGGCCGAAACUGACGCUGAGGAGCGAAAGCGUGGGGAGCAAAUGGG
rnacentral:rRNA from 1 species